rnacentral:rRNA from 2 species
CGCACUCUCGUUAGAUUGAAGAAGCUUGCUUCUGAUUGAUAACAUUUGAGUGAGUGGCGGACGGGUGAGUAACACGUGGGUAACCUGCCCUAAAGUGGGGGAUAACAUUUGGAAACAGAUGCUAAUACCGCAUAAAACCUAGCACCGCAUGGUGCAAGGUUGAAAGAUGGUUUCGGCUAUCACUUUAGGAUGGACCCGCGGUGCAUUAGUUAGUUGGUGAGGUAAAGGCUCACCAAGACCGUGAUGCAUAGCCGACCUGAGAGGGUAAUCGGCCACACUGGGACUGAGACACGGCCCAGACUCCUACGGGAGGCAGCAGUAGGGAAUCUUCCACAAUGGACGAAAGUCUGAUGGAGCAACGCCGCGUGAGUGAAGAAGGUUUUCGGAUCGUAAAACUCUGUUGUUGGAGAAGAACGUAUUUGAUAGUAACUGAUCAGGUAGUGACGGUAUCCAACCAGAAAGCCACGGCUAACUACGUGCCAGCAGCCGCGGUAAUACGUAGGUGGCAAGCGUUGUCCGGAUUUAUUGGGCGUAAAGCGAGCGCAGGCGGUUUCUUAAGUCUGAUGUGAAAGCCUUCGGCUCAACCGAAGAAGUGCAUCGGAAACUGGGAAACUUGAGUGCAGAAGAGGACAGUGGAACUCCAUGUGUAGCGGUGAAAUGCGUAGAUAUAUGGAAGAACACCAGUGGCGAAGGCGGCUGUCUGGUCUGUAACUGACGCUGAGGCUCG